UUAAUUGAUGGAAUAUAGUUGAAAUCCCAAAUUUUGAGUACAAACACGCUCAAUUCCAUACCCACUCCGCAUUUGACCUAACCUAAUUCCUACUCCCUACAAAAAAGACUCUACCCCUUCUUCACAACGGACCAGCCGUUUCCACAUUUCAGCAUCACCUUUCAACUUCAAAAACUAUACACACAUAGAGUACGAUGGAGAACUAGAUCUGGGACGUGAAAAAAAAAUGGAGAGAGCGGAGGAGGAUUGGGUAUUCUUCUCCAAAAAUCCAACAACUUUCAGAUAUUAAAAGCUUUUCUUCCACCAUUAAUGCAAAUUUUCUCCUCUAUCCAAGCAUAUCCAUCUUCUCCUAAAAACCACCAAUGCUUCAGCCAUGAGACCCAUUGAAGCAUCACUAAAAGGUACCAAAAACUCAUCCAAAACGAGCUGAAAACACUGAGAAAAGCAGCUCCAAAACAGCUACUGCCAAACAGCAACCAAACAACCUUAAAAUAGCUUCAGAAAUGCAAAACAAAAAUCACCAAUACCCCAGCGAAAAUCAGCCAAAAACAACCUCUAAAUCUUUCCCAAAACCAGAACAAAAAGUCCAAUGAAACAUUGUCGAAAAGUAGCUUAAAACCUCCAUAACGCUCAAUCCAAAAUAACAGAAACACCAUAAUGUUUGUCAAAGGUUCAGUUACUUGAGUUCAAUUGGUUUCGAGGUCGCCGGCGUGGUUCAUCAGCUUGAUUCAAAUCUUGUUGUAUUUUGCGCAUAAAAGUUUGUUUGGAGCAUUUUGUUAACAAAGUCAGAAAGUUUUCACAUUAUUAAAAGUCCACCAUUUCUACCUUUCUUUACUAUUUUUUAGUUGAAUACUGUUUGUUGUUUGUUUCUAUUAAACCAUUUGAUUGCUUCAUUUGAUUAAAGAUUUUGAAGGAAUAUUAUAUUGUUUGUUCCGA
rnacentral:lncRNA from 1 species